AGUCGAGCGAACAGAUAAGGAGCUUGCUCCUUUGACGUUAGCGGCGGACGGGUGAGUAACACGUGGGUAACCUACCUAUAAGACUGGAAUAACUCCGGGAAACCGGGGCUAAUGCCGGAUAACAUUUAGAACCGCAUGGUUCUAAAGUGAAAGAUGGUUUUGCUAUCACUUAUAGAUGGACCCGCGCCGUAUUAGCUAGUUGGUAAGGUAACGGCUUACCAAGGCAACGAUACGUAGCCGACCUGAGAGGGUGAUCGGCCACACUGGAACUGAGACACGGUCCAGACUCCUACGGGAGGCAGCAGUAGGGAAUCUUCCGCAAUGGGCGAAAGCCUGACGGAGCAACGCCGCGUGAGUGAUGAAGGUCUUCGGAUCGUAAAACUCUGUUAUUAGGGAAGAACAAAUGUGUAAGUAACUAUGCACGUCUUGACGGUACCUAAUCAGAAAGCCACGGCUAACUACGUGCCAGCAGCCGCGGUAAUACGUAGGUGGCAAGCGUUAUCCGGAAUUAUUGGGCGUAAAGCGCGCGUAGGCGGUUUCUUAAGUCUGAUGUGAAAGCCCACGGCUCAACCGUGGAGGGUCAUUGGAAACUGGGAAACUUGAGUGCAGAAGAGGAAAGUGGAAUUCCCUGUGUAGCGGUGAAAUGCGCAGAGAUAUGGAGGAACACCAGUGGCGAAAAGCGACUUUCUGGUCUGUAACUGACGCUGAUGUGCGAAAGCGUGGGGAUCAAACAGGAUUAGAUACCCUGGUAGUCCACGCCGUAAACGAUGAGUGCUAAGUGUUAGGGGGUUUCCGCCCCUUAGUGCUGCAGCUAACGCAUUAAGCACUCCGCCUGGGGAGUACGACCGCAAGGUUGAAACUCAAAGGAAUUGACGGGGACCCGCACAAGCGGUGGAGCAUGUGGUUUAAUUCGAAGCAACGCGAAGAACCUUACCAAAUCUUGACAUCCUUUGACAACUCUAGAGAUAGAGCCUUCCCCUUCGGGGGACAAAGUGACAGGUGGUGCAUGGUUGUCGUCAGCUCGUGUCGUGAGAUGUUGGGUUAAGUCCCGCAACGAGCGCAACCCUUAAACUUAGUUGCCAGCAUUUAGUUGGGCACUCUAAGUUGACUGCCGGUGACAAACCGGAGGAAGGUGGGGAUGACGUCAAAUCAUCAUGCCCCUUAUGAUUUGGGCUACACACGUGCUACAAUGGACAAUACAAAGGGCAGCUAAACCGCGAGGUCAUGCAAAUCCCAUAAAGUUGUUCUCAGUUCGGAUUGUAGUCUGCAACUCGACUACAUGAAGCUGGAAUCGCUAGUAAUCGUAGAUCAGCAUGCUACGGUGAAUACGUUCCCGGGUCUUGUACACACCGCCCGUCACACCACGAGAGUUUGUAACACCCGAAGCCGGUGGAGUAACCAUUUAUGGAGCUAGCCGUCGAA
rnacentral:rRNA from 1 species